GACCAGCUCUUCAAGUGGUCGGGACUAUUAUUGGGCUUAAAGUGUCCGUAGCCGGUAUAGUAAGUUCCUGGUUAAAUCGGAUAGCUCAACUGUCUGUUGGCUAGGAAUACUGCUAUACUAGGGGGCGGGAGAGGUCUGAGGUACUCCAGGGGUAGGGGUGAAAUCCUAUAAUCCUUGGGGGACCACCAGUGGCGAAGGCGUCAGACUGGAACGCGCUCGACGGUGAGGGACGAAAGCCGGGGGAGCGAACCGGAUUAGAUACCCGGGUAGUCCUGGCUGUAAACGAUGCGUGCUAGGUGUUGGUAUGGCCUUGAGCCGUAUCAGUGCCGUAGGGAAACCGAUAAGCGCGCCGCCUGGGGAUACGGUCGCAAGACUGAAACUUAAGGAUUGGCGGGCGAGCACCGCAAGGGGUGAAGCCUGCGGUUC
rnacentral:rRNA from 1 species